AUCUCUCCUUACAGUUCAGUGUAUAAAACCCUCUGCCAGCAUAUGGAGAGAAUGAUUUCCACACAUGCUCUUCUGAGGCUUCCAACCCACUCAUGUCAAGCAAAUGCCCAUAGUAGCACAGUUAUUGUUGAGCAGGUGAUUUGUUCCGUCCUAAUUUGUUCCUUUCCUAAUUCUUUCCUGGGCUGAGAAACCUUCCACAAAAUGUCAGCGCAAGUCUUCUGUUUCUAUGAAUUGUUCUGAUAGGAAACAGUUUCAUUUGAAUUCUGAACCAGUUUGUUUUUAUCAUCAGCUGGUGUGCCCUCUAUUUUAAUACUAAAAGAAAACUCCUGUGCUACUCACCCCCAGCAAGAUGAGCACAGGUGAUCUGAGUAUCAGUUUAGGCGCAACCACAGACAAACCCAGCUUACUGCAGCAAUGUUUUAAGAGCUGGAAAGCUCUGGGAAGGGACAGGUUUAUAGUACAAGAAGACAUGCUGCAGGAGUAUAUGGCUAGGGCUGCUGGCUGUGGUAAAUCAAUGGCAAAUCAAUAGUAACUGAGCAGGCUGGGUGCUGUCCCUGGGAUGGAGAGAGAAGAAAUUUUGUGGAAAGAGAGGCAGAAUGCAGCACAGAAGAUUAAUAAGAUAGCACUCGUUCCCUAACUGAAGAGUAUUCACUCUGUAUUGUCAAAGUCACUUUAAGGUAUGCUUAUGCAAAACAAACUUACUCAUAAGCUUCCGUUGUUAAAGGUAAAAUGUAAAUUAGAAUGUAAAAGAAAA